GUGGGGAAUAUUGGACAAUGGGCGAAAGCCUGAUCCAGCCAUGCCGCGUGUGUGAAGAAGGUCUUCGGAUUGUAAAGCACUUUAAGUUGGGAGGAAGGGCAGUAAGUUAAUACCUUGCUGUUUUGACGUUACCGACAGAAUAAGCACCGGCUAACUUCGUGCCAGCAGCCGCGGUAAUACGAAGGGUGCAAGCGUUAAUCGGAAUUACUGGGCGUAAAGCGCGCGUAGGUGGUUUUGUAAGUUGGAGGUGAAAUCCCCGGGCUCAACCUGGGGACUGCCUCCAAAACUGCAUGACUAGAGUACGGUAGAGGGUAGUGGAAUUUCCUGUGUAGCGGUGAAAUGCGUAGAUAUAGGAAGGAACACCAGUGGCGAAGGCGACUACCUGGACUGAUACUGACACUGAGGUGCGAAAGCGUGGGGAGCAAACAGGAUUAGAAACCCGUGUAGUCC
rnacentral:rRNA from 1 species